AGCAAACAGCUGAACUGAUAGAAUUGAGACCAACUUGGUAUUUAAAACAGUAAAUAUCAUAAACCAAAACCUUUGUCCUUUCAUCAACGAUUAACUUCCCUACCUUUACAUUGUCUUAAAAGUGAAGUCCAUCAUAACUGCACUAGGGCAACUAACGUAGUUCAGUUGGUUUUAAGCACUGCUGUGAGAAAAUGUAUUUGAACACAAGUUGAAAUAGAGGAAGAAAUGAACCAAGGAAAAUAGAAAUUCAAAAGAAGUGGAAUACAUAUAAAAAUAAACAAAAUUCCAAAUAAACAUAAGGAUACUUUUUUUUUUUUUCAACGAGGGUGAUUAAACAUCAGAAUAAGUUGCCCAGAUAGGUUGUAGAGUCUCCAUUCUUGAAGAUAUUCAAGACUCAGCUGGCCACAACUGUGAAGACCCUUCUUUGAGCACAGGGGUCACACCAGAGGGUCUCCAGAACCACCUUUCCACAUCAGCCAAUGCAUACAUCUGUGGAUAAAGCUGGCACUAAAUCCCUUUGAAAAACUGAAAGCUCGUAAGGCACUUGGCAGCCAGGGACCUGUGGAUUACAAGGAUGUUGUUUACAUUUCCAGUUUAAUCUGCAAGUAGAGUCCACCAGUGUCCUGACUGGAAGCUCUACAUUUGAGGAAAAAACAUUAAACACAAAGAAGAAGGAACAGGUCUUUAGCAGACCCACGUGUUCCCAUGCUGCUAGUACAAGCAAUUACAAGGAAAGACAUUAGAAAUCAAUGUGGAGGUUGCUACAGAUGUACUGCAGUGACCAGGAAGAUCUCCAGCACCAGACAGAUGGGCAGCAUGCAGAGCAAGCUACACAUUCCCUUGAAGAGGCACUGUCUCUUCGUGUCUGCACCAUCAAAGAGGCCUGAGGCAACUUCGAGCAGCUUAUAAGACCACAGGGACGAGGCCUACCUGGACUUGACACCUCAUCACUGCAGCAGCUAAGCCGUUAGCUGGGUGGUUGGCGAGAGCGCAGCUUCAUGAAGCACGAAGCCAAAAUCAGCACUAGCCCCGCUGCUCCAGCAGAGACAGCAACAGUCCUCAGAUGCCCCCUGGUGAUUUCCAGCUGCACUGCAACUCUUUCAUCGACCUCUUGAAGAAUACUUUUGGGGAAGGAGAGAAAUUGCAAAGAAGGAGUUUGCAUGGCUAUGUUGCACUUUGUGUCCCGCUCUGAAGUGGGGAGCACUCGCUUCUUCCUCGGUAGACAGCCCCGAUGAUAAAACACACAGGUACAGCUUUACAUUUGAGGUUUCAAAGCAUAUCAGAAGCAUUCUUGCUGGGAUCAUUCCAAUCCACAAUAAAGUCUCUUAACCCCUAAGCCACUUGAGAUGUAUUACGCUUUAUGAAAUAUCUGAGUAAAAAUAUCCACAACUAAAAGUAUCAAGGAGUACAAGUACCGAGUAAAUCAGCAUUGUUAAGUACUAUGCUUAGAGACAACCUGAAAAUAUUCAGUGCCCUCUUGUGGCUUGUGUUAAGAAAGAAGGAAAAAAUCAUAAAAGGAAACUACUGAAGUCUGAACAGUCUCACAACUGUGGUGGCACAUCCAUCAUACCUUCCAUGACAAUGCUGCCACAAACAUGACCCUGGAGAAAGGCCUAUUGAAAGACCCAGAGCAUGUGAGGAGAGGCUGAGAGAGCUGGGACUGUUCAGCCAGUGGAAGAGGAGGCUGAGGGGUCCCAUCUAAGUCUACGUGCUGCGACAGAGCCAAGCUCUUUGCAGUGGUGCCUCCUGCCAGACUAAGAGAAUGGGCACAACCUGGAACACAGGAUGUUCCCUCAGAACACCAGGAGCACUUCCGUGCUGUGCAGGUGACGGAACACUGGCACAGGCUGCCCAGGGGCUGUGUGUGGGCUCUGCUCCUCAGAGACCUUCAGCAGCUGCCUUGACGUGGGCCUGGGCCUCUGCUCUGGUGUCCCUGAUGGAGCAGAGGCUGAGCCCAGAGGCCCCUGCCAGCCUCAGCCAUUCUGAGGAAAAAAGCUACUGUUUUCUUUUUGCCUUUGAUGCACACCUGCAGAAACAGAACACUCAGCACAAGGUUUUUUGCAAAACACGUGCCUGUUACUGCUAAUGGGCUGGUCUUCAUGAAAUGUGUUUGCUUUUAAACACAAUCCUGAUAUAUACUAUCCAAAAGGAUAUCCUCCCAAGAAAAAAAAAACAAAAACAAAAAACCACACACACAAACACCAAAGCAAAUACUUUUAGUUUGAGGAGAUGAAAGGAGGUAGAAAACAACUCUGAAAAUGAAAUAUUGUCUGGUAAGACAUCUUAAGAAAUAAAAACUCCCCCAGUCAUGGAAGCAGACUAACCGUGAAAGUUACUGAUGCUAAAUUUCUUAGUUGCUCUAUUUACCCCUAAGGCCCACAUCAGCUCCAAGAUAUUGAGGGCACAGCCAGAGGAGCUUCUGAAGUAUACAAAAUAGGAGACAAUACUUAUAAGUUAAGUAAUAUAACCUUAUCUAUGUAAUUGCUGAAUAAAAACCAGAAAGGACAAUGGGUAGAAUACUUAGGGAAAUCCUCUGAGAGUUGCUGUAAGGAAAGACAUGCAGACGGAAAAAAAGAGACAGAGAGAAAUCCAAAAAUACAGAAAGAGAAUAUAAAGUAAUAGUGAACAGUUUUCUCAGACUAAGCAUUCUCAUAGACUAAAGCAAGUGCAUAAAAACAGCACUGUAUCACUAAGCCCUGGGAAACGGCCUGCAGCUCCAUGGAACUGAAAAAUACAUCUUAAACACAGAAGAUUUCAAGUAAAGAUGUAAUCUUAAACACAGAAGAUUUCAAGUAAAGAUGUAAAGUGGAAUUAGAUGCUUUCUACUGAAUGCAUUUGGCAGUGAUUAUAUUUUAUUUUAGCUCUGUCCUGACCGCAAAGACAGAGAUAUAUGAUGAUGAGGAAAAAAAAAAAGUCUCACAGACAAAACAAUGGAGGUUAAGGCUGGAAAAUGAAGCAAAGCAAACACAGAGUUUAAGCACUAUAACAAUCCAAACCAACUUUAUGCAUGAAGAAAAAAAAAAAAA